rnacentral:rRNA from 1 species
UACGAAGGGGGCUAGCGUUGCUCGGAAUCACUGGGCGUAAAGGGGUGCGUAGGCGGGUCUUUAAGUCAGGGGUGAAAUCCUGGAGCUCAACUCCAGAACUGCCUUUGAUACUGAGGAUCUUGAGUUCGGGAGAGGUGAGUGGAACUGCGAGUGUAGAGGUGAAAUUCGUAGAUAUUCGCAAGAACACCAGUGGCGAAGGCGGCUCACUGGCCCGAUACUGAC